GACCCGCGGCUCCCCGUCCGUGCGGGGCGCCUCCUCCGGCGCCGCCUCCAUGCUUCCCGCCAGCCCCAACUCGCCCCGCGCUGCGCCGUCCCGCGCCCCGCCAGGUCACAAUGGGACGCCCGCUGUCAGCCCGGCAGCGUCCCGCCAGAGCCCGGCUGCUGCAAGGACUCGGCCGGAGCUGUGCGCUGCGCUCCGGCGGGUCCAGCGGUCCUCCAGCGGGAGCCUGCCUUGAUGUAAGUGUCAUAAGCAGGACCCCUGUGCGCCCUUCUCGCCGCAGGGGCAGAUGGCAGAGGCCACCGGCUGCUCUCGGGUUGGCUCCCCGUGACUUCACGUUUCGUUGCGUUGGGUGCGUAGUGCUGUCCCCCGGUGAACACGGUGGAUGCACCCCGCUUGGCAUUGAGAAGAGUCGAGUCUAACCCUUGUACCUGGACUGUUGACUAAAUGAUAGUGGUGUCUUAAAUGGAACCACUAUCAUGGAGGAGAUUGCAGACCUUGACGUCCAUUACAAAAGCCUGGACAUUACCAAUGCCAUUUUGAGGCCUUGGCAUGAGGAGUGAUGUGCCCAGGAAGCUCAACAGUUGGGAGGCUGGAAACCUGAGAAGACCUUGCUAUUGUGGUUGUGACCCCUGGUGCUAUGACAAUGCCCAGCCAGCUAAGUCAACACAUCGCAUGGAAGGCCUACAUAAGAAUAUCCCUGUAAACUGUCCAGUUUUGUUUGGUAUUUCUUAUGUGUUUAAUAAAUUUUGGAUUUGAAG